rnacentral:rRNA from 1 species
UACGUAUGGAGCAAGCGUUAUCCGGAUUUACUGGGCGUAAAGGGAGCGUAGGCGGCCUGCCAAGUCUGAUGUGAAAUACCGGGGCUCAACCCCGGGAGUGCAUUUGAAACUGCCAUGCUGGAGUGCCGGAGAGGUAAGCGGAAUUCCUAGUGUAGCGGUGAAAUGCGUAGAUAUUAGGAGGAACACCAGUGGCGGAGGCGGCUUACUGGACGGUAACUGACGCUGAGGCUCGAAAGCGUGGGGAGCAAACAGG